rnacentral:rRNA from 1 species
CAGCCCCUCGAGUGGUGGGGAUGAUUAUUUGGCCUAAAGCGUCCGUAGCCGGCCGAGUAAGUCCCCCGUUAAAUCCAGCGUCUCAAGCGUUGGACUGCGGGAGAUACUGCUCGGCUAGAGAGUGGGAGAGGUGUGCGGUAUUCUGGGGGUAGGGGCGAAAUCCUUUGAUCCCCGGAGGACCACCAGUGGCGAAGGCUGCACACUAGAACACGUCUGACGGUCAGGGACGAAAGCUGGGGUAGCGAACCGGAUUAGAGACCCGAGUAGUCC